rnacentral:rRNA from 1 species
UACGUAGGGGGCAAGCGUUGUCCGGAAUCAUUGGGCGUAAAGCGCGUGUAGGCGGCUUCGUAAGUCCGUUGUGAAAGUCCAGGGCUCAACCCUGGAAUGCCGAUGGAUACUGCGGAGCUAGAGUCCGGAAGAGGCGAGUGGAAUUCCUGGUGUAGCGGUGAAAUGCGCAGAUAUCAGGAGGAACACCGGUGGCGAAGGCGGCGAUCUGGGAAGAUACUGACGCUGAGGUGCGAAAGCGUGGGGAGCAAACAGG